GUGGGCUUGAAAAUAUUGGUAUUAACUGUGAGUGAUUUUCAACAUUAUAGGCAACUUCAUCUUUCAACUUGAAUUUUGUAUAUUGCAUACAGUACACAUCAAAAAAGAUUUCAAGCAGCUUAGGAAAUCUAGGGCUCAGAGUAGGCUGAAGAAUAUUUACUUAAUUGCCUGGUAUUUGCAGGGUAAUUUGAGCAGAUUCUUUUCUCCUUUCAGUUCACCAGAAGGCAGUGACUAUGCUGAAACCCCACGAACACACAAUACUUAGAGGGAAUUUCUGACCAAACUGCAUGUAUACAACUAUUUUCCUUCUGCUUUGGCCACACCAUCUCAAAUCUGAAAACCAUCUUCCACAUUGUUCCAGAUCGGGCAGCAGAAAACUCCCAGAGUAUGAAGCAAGGAUUUUGGGAAAGAUCCCUAAAGGAAACCAUGGCUCAGGCUUCAGGGGAUGCACAAGGCCCCUUGGCACUGAACAAAGGGACUUGCCUUUGCAACAGAAACAUCUUUGUUCAACAGGAGCCCAGGAGCCCAUGCAGGCAGCCA
ensembl:lncRNA